UUAAAUCAAAUUUGUAUGGAGUUAGAACAGCUUUCCUUCGUUUGCCACUAGGUGGCGCUGUUCCAACUCCAUACAAAUCUGAGUUA
rfam:Bombyx mori DNA, contig: Bm_scaf2_contig2247, strain: p50T/Dazao, build 2, whole genome shotgun sequence.